rnacentral:rRNA from 1 species
ACAUUUUUUUUUAGUUUAUGUAAAAAGUAUCCUCUGCCCACUGAUUUAUUAAAGGGCCGCAGAAUUUUAACUGUGGAAAGGUAGCAUAAUCAUUAGUUUCUUAAUUAGGAAAUGGUAUGAAUGAGGGAACAAAUAGUUUUAUUUUCUUUUUUAAAUUUUAUUGAAUUUGAAUUACAAGUUAAAAUUCUUGUUGUUAUUUUAGGGACGAUAAGACCCUGUAGAUCUUUAUCUUUUGGUUACUAUAUAUCUUUGGUGGUUUAUUUGUACAACUAUAAGGUUUUUAUGGGGCAUAAGCAGUAAAAUAUUAAUCUUCUGUCAUUGUCUUGAUUUUAAAGGUUUAAAAAAGUUACCUUAGGGAUAACAGCGUUAUUUUUCUUAAGAGUUCGUAUCAAUAGGAUAAUUUGCGACCUCGAUGUUGAAUUAAGUAAAUAGAAUGGGCAGAAUUUUUUUAUUAUGAGUCUGUUCGACUUUUAUUACUUACAUGAUUUGAGU